AGCAGUCGCCACGGUAAUACGAAGGGGGCUAGCGUUGCUCGGAAUUACUGGGCGUAAAGGGCGCGUAGGCGGACAGUUCAGUCGGGGGUGAAAGCCCGGGGCUCAACCUCGGAAUUGCCUUCGAUACUGGCUGUCUUGAGUAUGAGAGAGGUGUGUGGAACUCCGAGUGUAGAGGUGAAAUUCGUAGAUAUUCGGAAGAACACCAGUGGCGAAGGCGACACACUGGCUCAUUACUGACGCUGAGGCGCGAAAGCGUGGGGAGCAAACAGGAUUAGAUACCCCUGUAGUCCCUGUCUCUUAUAC
rnacentral:rRNA from 1 species